rnacentral:rRNA from 1 species
GUGGGGAAUAUUGCACAAUGGGCGCAAGCCUGAUGCAGCGACGCCGCGUGAGGGAUGGAGGCCUUCGGGUUGUAAACCUCUUUUGAUUGGGAGCAAGCGCAAGUGAGUGUACCUUUCGAAUAAGCGCCGGCUAACUACGUGCCAGCAGCCGCGGUAAUACGUAGGGCGCAAGCGUUAUCCGGAUUUAUUGGGCGUAAAGGGCUCGUAGGCGGCUUGUCGCGUCCGGUGUGAAAGUCCAUCGCUCAACGGUGGAUUUGCGCCGGGUACGGGCAGGCUAGAAUGCGGCAGGGGAGACUGGAAUUCCCGGUGUAACGGUGGAAUGUGUAGAUAUCGGGAAGAACACCAAUGGCGAAGGCAGGUCUCUGGGCCGUUAUUGACGCUGAUGAGCGAAAGCGUGGGGAGCGAACAGGAUUAGAAACCCGUGUAGUCC